rnacentral:rRNA from 1 species
CGCCCAACAGCUAGCCCACUUAAACAAUAUCAACUAACCCCUGUUAAUAACCCCUAAGUACCCCCAUAUUUAAAUUUAAACAAACCAUUUUUCCCCCUGAGUAUAGGUGAUAGAAAGGGGACGAGGCGCAAUAGAGAAAGUACCGCAAGGGAAUGCUGAAAGAGAAAUGAAAUAACCCAGUAAAGCCUUAAAAAGCAGAGAUUCAACCUCGUACCUUUUGCAUCAUGAUUUAGCAAGUGUACAUCAAGCAAAGAGCACUUUAGUUUGACGCCCCGAAACUAAGUGAGCUACUCCAAGACAGCCUGUUAAUAGGGCGUACCCGUCUCUGUGGCAAAAGAGUGGGGAGAGCUUUGAGUAGAGGUGAUAAACCUACCGAACCUAGUUAUAGCUGGUUGUCCAAGAAAUGAAUAGGAGUUCAGCCUCUUGACUUCUUUUUUCACCUUAGUCUAACCCCUAUUGAUGCAUUAAAGAAAUCGAGAGAGUUAGUCAAAGGGGGUACAGCCCCUUUGAAUCAAGACACAACUUUAUCAGGAGGGUAAAGAUCAUAAUAAUUAAAGCUAAAUAUUCUGGUGGGCCUAAAAGCAGCCACUCCCUUAGAAAGCGUUAAAGCUCAGAUAUAUUACUAAACCCUUCUUAUUCUGAUUACCAAAUCUUACCCCCCUAACCGUACUGGACCAUCCCAUGCUUGCAUGGGAGUGACUAUGCUAAUAUGAGUAAUAAGAGAGCCGAAGACUCUCUCCCCGCAUACGUGUACGUCAGAACGGACAACCCGCUGACUCUUAACGACCCCAAACAAAGAGGGCAUUGGAUAAUAAACCGACAACUAGAAAAACAUCCAAGAAUCAACCGUUAACCCCACACAGGUAUGCCCCUGGGGAAAGACUAAAAGAAAGAGAAGGAACUCGGCAAACACACAAGCCUCGCCUGUUUACCAAAAACAUCGCCUCUUGUAAACUCAAAAAUAAGAGGUCCCGCCUGCCCUGUGACUAUUUGUUUAACGGCCGCGGUAUUUUGACCGUGCGAAGGUAGCGCAAUCACUUGUCUUUUAAAUGGAGACCCGUAUGAAUGGCAUAACGAGGGCUUAACUGUCUCCUCUUUCAAGUCAAUGAAAUUGAUCUCCCCGUGCAGAAGCGGGGAUAAAAACAUAAGACGAGAAGACCCUAUGGAGCUUUAGACACCAAGGCAGCCCACGUUAAGCAYCCUGAAUAAAGRACUAAACCAAGUGUGCCCUGCUUCAAUGUCUUUGGUUGGGGCGACCGCGGGGAAUUAAAUAACCCCCACGUGGAAUGGGAGCACUCCUCCUACAACUAAGAGCUACAGCUCUAGUAAACAGAAUUUCUGACCAAUAAGAUCCGGCAGUGCCGAUCAACGGACCGAGUUACCCUAGGGAUAACAGCGCAAUCCUCUUUUAGAGCCCAUAUCGACAAGGGGGUUUACGACCUCGAUGUUGGAUCAGGACAUCCUAAUGGUGCAGCCGCUAUUAAGGGUUCGUUUGUUCAACGAUUAAAGUCCUACGUGAUCUGAGUUCAGACCGGAGUAAUCCAGGUCAGUUUCUAUCUAUGCUAUGCUCUUUUCUAGUACGAAAGGACCGAAAAGAAGAGGCCAAUGUUAGAGACACGCCUCCCCCUCACCUAAUGAAGUCAACUAAAGUAGGCAAAAGGGCAUAUCCCUUUGCCUUAGAGAAAGGCAU